rnacentral:misc_RNA from 1 species
AAGCAUUGUUUCGCCUCUGACGAACAUUCUCUUUUUGGAAUUCUUCUGUUUAAAACCACGGGUCAACAAUUACUUGAGCAGAAUAAAGAAGAGAAAAAAGACCAACCAAUGGAACAAUCUGAAGAGAAAAAGUGAAAGUAAACCUUUCUUUUCCAUGCGACCAGCAUUUUGUCAUUGAAUUCCAUUAAUGUCUGUGGAACUAACAAAGUAUUAGCGAAAAUCAGUUGUUUGAAAGGGAUUCACGAAAUACUCGACAUUGACUUGUGUUGUUUUGUUUAUUUAUUUAUUUUUUAUAUAUUUAUAUAUAUAGCUGAGGUGUUUCCUUUUUUAAAAGUUAUGAAAAAGCAUUUUUAAAAUUUAUGUUCAGAUAAUUAUAUUUCGGAAGAUUUUUAAUAUUCAAAUACAUUAAACCAUGUUUACAAUAAAAAAAAAUGUAUGUAUGUAUACAUGAAUGUUCAUUUUUUAAAUUAUAACUUAUUUAAUAUAAGUUUUAUGUAUUAUUUUACUGCACUACUUACAACUACCUCUUGAAAAAUAAAUAAUUAAAAUG